AACGAACGCUGGCGGCAUGCCUAACACAUGCAAGUCGAACGAGACCUUCGGGUCUAGUGGCGCACGGGUGCGUAACGCGUGGGAACCUGCCUUUAGGUUCGGAAUAACUCAGAGAAAUUUGAGCUAAUACCGGAUGAUGUCUUCGGACCAAAGAUUUAUCGCCUUUAGAUGGGCCCGCGUUGGAUUAGCUAGUUGGUGGGGUAAAGGCCUACCAAGGCGACGAUCCAUAGCUGGUCGGAGAGGAUGAUCAGCCACACUGGGACUGAGACACGGCCCAGACUCCUACGGGAGGCAGCAGUGGGGAAUAUUGGACAAUGGGCGAAAGCCUGAUCCAGCAAUGCCGCGUGAGUGAUGAAGGCCUUAGGGUUGUAAAGCUCUUUUACCCGAGAUGAUAAUGACAGUAUCGGGAGAAUAAGCUCCGGCUAACUCCGUG
rnacentral:rRNA from 1 species